rnacentral:rRNA from 1 species
GAUGAACGCUGGCGGCGUGCCUAAUACAUGCAAGUCGAGCGAACAGACGAGGAGCUUGCUCCUCUGACGUUAGCGGCGGACGGGUGAGUAACACGUGGAUAACCUACCUAUAAGACUGGGAUAACUUCGGGAAACCGGAGCUAAUACCGGAUAAUAUAUUGAACCGCAUGGUUCAAUAGUGAAAGACGGCUUUGCUGUCACUUAUAGAUGAAUCCGCGCCGCAUUAGCUAGUUGGUAAGGUAACGGCUUACCAAGGCGACGAUGCGUAGCCGACCUGAGAGGGUGAUCGGCCACACUGGAACUGAGACACGGUCCAGACUCCUACGGGAGGCAGCAGUAGGGAAUCUUCCGCAAUGGGCGAAAGCCUGACGGAGCAACGCCGCGUGAGUGAUGAAGGUCUUCGGAUCGUAAAACUCUGUUAUUAGGGAAGAACAAAUGUGUAAGUAACUAUGCACGUCUUGACGGUACCUAAUCAGAAAGCCACGGCUAACUACGUG